UUGCAGGGGAGUUGGGAUAUGUGCUGCUAGCAGGGGAAGGAGGAUAGGGGCUGUUAGGAGAUAAGGGGAAAGGAGUGCUGUUGGGCUGGUGGAAGGAAUCAGGAAACGUGGCAUUCUGGGGCAUGUGCGGCUCAUUGUGGCUCAGGUUCCUGAACUGAACCAGAAGGCUGUGCUGGGGAUUGAAUUCGUUGUGACGAGGCACUAACACUGGAGGUAAGACUGAAAGAAAAACAAGAAUCAAUCAGGAAAACAAGUCACAGCCAAUCAGGAACCUUUUAGGGGCAGUGAUUAAAGUUUACUGGUAGGAGGGACAGAAUCUGGAUUUGUAUUUACAUCAUAACCAAACCCAAAAACCUUUAGCAUUCAGCCUGUGUGAAGGACUCUGGAAACAGAGAGUCCACAAGGAAGGCAUUUUCCAUCCAAAAACAACCAUAAUAAGCAUUUAAUGCAAUUAAUGAGAAUUAAAGAAAUACCCACGUCCAGCCAGCAGAGUACCAAAUACUGUGAAAAUAAUAACACCCGUGGAUACUAGGAGCAGAGAGGCAGACAGGAGGGGAAGACACAGUCACUGAUCUAGACAGAUGUAAGAUUACAGAGGGAGCUGAAGUCAGUAUGUGGAUCCAUGAGAACUCUGCAUUCCCAAUGCUGAACACUUUCAGAGUCAGUCAGGGCUCGUGUUUAGCAUUUAGAGAACUGGUUAAGGUCUCCUCAAUGAAGCAACAAUUCUCCAGAGUAAAAAGGCCUUCCCUUCAAAAUCAGUCCUCUAAGUACAACUUCAUCUGUAGUCCUUUCUGAUUGUUUAUUCUAAUGACUUGGCCAUUGGAUUUUUGAAGUUUGGAGCUCUAAGUAGCUGUCUGCUUGAACAUUUCUCCUCUCUGGCCACUCCCCACAUGCUCUAUCUGGAUCCCUCUGGAGGACGUGUUACAAUCUCUCAGCAUUUAAAUGAGUUUGUUUUCCAUUAUUCAAUUGUCCGCUUUCUCUAACUCCAUCACUAGUAGCUGAUUAUCUUCCCCUACAGGAACCUAAGCAUACCAGUUCAUCUCCUUUACAACUUUCUUUAGUUGAUGUGAUGGUUUAUGUAUGCUGGGCCAAAGGAGUGGCACUAUUAGAAGGUAGCCCUAUUGGAGUAGAUGUGGCUAGCUUCUUCCCCACCAGGCAAACACAUGACAUGUAAUUGGAUAAAUCCCUUCAGCAUAUGGCCUAUGACUUGCUUCUAACCAACAGAAUUAUGGGCAAAGUGACGGGGAAGUGUUUAAGAAUUCAAUGCCCUCUCACAGGAAAAUUCUCAUUCCUGGCUCUGGAGAAGACAGAGCAUCAUCACAUGCGUGCAUGUCAGCACAGUCGGGUAGAGAGAAAACCUACUACUGUAAGAGAGAGUGGCAGCACAGGAACAAACAUAACUGAGGUGAAGUACUGAGAAGAAGCCAUGCAGUAAAGUGAAUGAAGGUAGUCUUCAGCCAAUAACCAGCAAAGCGUCCACUGGACUGUUCAGGAACCAAAUCUUGUCACUACCUCUGCGAGCUUGGAAGUGACCCCUCACCUAUCUGAACUUCAGGCUGGGGUGUAGCUCCACAGUAGAGUUCAGCCCUGACCAACACCUUGAUUACAAACUCACAAAAGAUGCUGCUAAGGUGACUAAAACCAGACCCCCAGAAAAUAUAAGGUAAUGCAUGUGUGUUGUGUUUAAACUCCCACAUGUGUGGCUAUUUAUCAUGUAGCAACUAAAAUAACCAAGAACCCAACUUGUGUCUCAGCUGUGGGGAAUCUAUCUUGCAAAGUUCCUGGGCUGGAAACGUAAUUCCCAAUGUGGCAAUGUGGGGAGGUGGUCUCACAGAAGUACCGAGAUGUCCUCACUGUGGAUGUCUCUCUGAUACAUGAACGGGUUGCUCAGGCUGGGCUGUAGCUCCAUAGUAGAGUACGUGCUUAAAAUGCACAAGACCCUGGCUUUGAUGCUGGCACCAAAGGAAAACUAAAGUAGGUUUCUUUACACAUCUCCGUUCCCCUCCGUCCUCUCCGGCUCACUCACACCCAUGCCAUCCUUCUGUUCUAGGGUAGAGUUCAUUACAAGACCCUCACCAUAUGGUCUCCUAAUCCCUGGCUCUCUACCUUCCAAUUUCUAUUGUUACUAUUUAACAAAGGCUAAAGUAACCUUUUAGCUUGCAAAGCUAAUUACAUGCAAACUGGGGAGAUACAUGUUGGCUUUGUUUUUAAUUCUUUUCAGGAGAGUGAAUUUAUCCAGACUGUGUGAUAAUCUGCUACAGAAGCAAUCAAAGGACUAAGAUAUCAGUUUAUGUAAUUCACUGCAAAAAAAAAAUACUGACCACUGUACCUAGUAAAGCGUAUUAUUCUAGACAUCGAAGAAUGAGAAAUGGUUAAGGAAAGACCUCCCUCGUGACUCCCAAGGGUUGUCCUCUGAUCUUACCAUGUGCCAUGACAUAAACAUAAACACACAGACACACACAGACACACACAGACACAAAAACAAAGUAAAAAUAAUUUGGUGAAAAAGACAUGUAGAGAGAGAAAAUGUAAAGCCAGAAAAGUCGGCAAUGUGUGACAACAAAGUUCUCAAACAGGAGAGAAGGAUCUAGUGCAAACGUGGAACCUGUGUUUAGCAUGACAGAGACAUGUAAACCACAGAAAGGAAAUGGGUGUUAUUAGAGAAAGUGAGGAUCAACAGCAGUCAAGAGUUAAAUGUCACAAAAGCUAAAUUUAAGAGCUAAAAUCCCUUCUAAGAUGGAUUCUUUAACACAGCCUUUUAGCUAAUAAGUCUAGCUAUAUGCAAAUUGGUGAGAGACAUGUUAAUGUUUUGUUUUAAUUCUCAGUACACUGAAACUUACCUGGACUCUCCACUCUCUUAUAGUGGUAUGGAUUGAUACAAACUUCUUUUUGCUUCGAUCCAAAAGGAAACUCACAAAUAUCCAAAGGCUUUAGCUCAUGAUGGCUCUGCAAAUCCGGCCAGCGCCAAACACGGCAAUAUAUAACGUGGGGCAAGCCUUUCCUGUGAGAGACUUGCAAACGGCCGUCCAAGGACCUGGGGAUAGUGACACACUUGCUUGGCUGUCCUGGGCUGCUCAAGGCUUUCUCCAACUCCUCCAUGGCGCCCUUCUUCUUCUUCAGCUUUUUCACUAAAGCAUCCACGGCCUUUUCUGCCCAUUUCUCUUCCUCAUCACCUUGUUUCCAGCCCAACAAUCGCUUCACGGCUGGACUAGUGAAAGAAAACAGGCUGGCCAUUGACGUCAUUUGAUACGAAUCGUCAGAGCCUUUCCUGUAAUCAAAGUCAGUAGACACGAAAAGCAGAAUCACAGGAGAAGAGUCACAUGCAGGCCUCAAGCACAAGGUCCCAGUGGAGGGGGAGUGACAUUUAACUUUAAGGAUCCCAUAUGCUUCUUCAUUAGGACAAGUCCUGAAAGAGAAGGCAAAAGGAGCCUAAUUCAGUCUAAGAAGACUUGUCAGCCAAGUGAUGAACUUUUUAUCAGAACAGAAGUAGAAAAGCAUUCAAAGUAAAACAGAAAGCGGAAAACCAAAAACCAAAAAUGUCUCUCAAGUUCCUGCAGCCACCCACUCCCUUCUUCAGAGCCAAACAGUUCAGUGGCAAAGCAGAGGUUCACAGGGCCAUCUAAGAUGAGCAGACACAGAAUAAGAGUUGUCAUACGAUGUACCAACCUGUCAAACACAGCCUAACACAUAUCACUACCAGGAGAGGGUCAACUAUCUAUUUUUAAAACUAAAAAUAGUGAGGAGAUUUAGAACACAAAUGUUAUUCAAUUCCUCAAAAUGGCAGUUUGUACUUUUACAUCACUGGAGCACCAACUGCAAUUAAAAAGACUGUGAAAUAGCAGGUCAAUGUUUAGAAAAUGAACUCCAAAUAAAAACUGUUUAAUCAAGAAAGGCAAGGAAUACUAGCAGACUCGAUAUGAAGCAUUGCCUGAUACCAAAGCCAGGUGAGAGCCUGACACAAGAAGCAAGAAAGCUAUACUGACCAACUUCCCUGAACAUCAGACCAAACUUCUCGGUAAAAUUCUUGCAAACCUAAUUCAAGAAUACAUUACGAACCUGACACCUGUACCAUUUUGGUAUCAUUCCAUGAAUGCGUGAAUCAACAACAACAACACACACACACACACACACACACACACACACACACAACACACACACACACACACCAUCAGUGUUGGAUGUAAUACAACAUUCAAACAUACUUAAGGACACAAAUCACACCAGCAUCUCAAGAGAUGAACAGAAAUCCCCUGGUGAUGCACCGGAAUAAAAGCCUGAACGUGAUAAGGACCCUAAAUAGCAAAUCUGUAGCCAUCAGUCUAUAAAGUUAGGAAAUCUGGGAGCAUCCUUUCAAGCUGAUGACAAGGUAAGGGGGUGUGCUUUGCACACUCUUAAUAAAUACAAUGUUCAAUAUCUUUGCUAGAGCAAAAAGACAAGAGAAAGAAAUGAAAAGGAUACAAAUAGAAAGGAGUCAAAUUGUCCCAACUUCCAGACAACACAGUCCUAUAAUUAUAAAAUGCUGAGAGUCCCACCAGAAUAAUUCUUACAUCUGCUAAACAACCAGUAAAGCAGCAGAAUCCAGAAUCAACCCACGAAACAGCAGCUAUCCUUUGUAUCAACAGUAAACUUCCAAGAAAGAAACCAUUCUCAACAGCUUUAAAAAGGGAGGACUCAAUCUACUAAGGAGGUGACAAAUCUCUAAAACACAACUAUAAGGACACUGAAGUCAUGGUCAUAGUGUCAGGAUUAACACUGCAAACGUGGCCCUACUGCCCUAAGAGAUCUACAGAGGAAGCACAAUCCUUAUCAAAAUUCUAAUCACAUUCUUCACAGAAAUAGAAAAAACAAUAGUCCUGCCAAAGAUUCCAAAUGAUCAAAGCAACCCUGAGGAGAAAAAGGAAUGCUAGAAACCCCACGACACUUAGUCCCAGUUUAUUCCAUAGAGCUAAAUCUCUACGCUACUAUCAGGAAAGGAGACAUGUGGGCCAAUGGAGUAGAAUACAGGACUCAGAAAUAAGCCCACACAGCAAUAACCAAAAAUAUACUAGAAAAAAGAAAGGCUCUUCACUAAAUGGUACAUGAAAUUUACAUUGAACAUGCAGAAGAAUCAAUUCCAAAUGGAUUAAAGAUCUUAAUAGUAAGACCUGAAACUCUUCAGACUGCUAGAGGAAACCAUAGAUAAACCCCAUGAAGAUAAAUACACGCAACGACUAUCUUAAAAUGACUCCAACAACACAGGAAAUGGACAAAUGGAAUGAUAGGAAACUAAAGGGCUCUAAACAGAAAAGGUAACAAUUAGCACAGUGGAGAGACAGAACUGGGGGAAAACUCUUCAGCAAGUGCACAGCAGAUGGGAUUGACACCUAGGAUAAUGAGCCAUAAAUAGUAACACUAAAAAGGUCACCCAAUCAAAAAGUGGGCUAAUGAACUGACAGUUUUCAAAAGAAGAAAUACAAAUGGCCAGCAAAUGUUUAAGUAUCCAACAUCUUUAGCUAUCAGGGAAAUACAAACUAAAAUUACUUAGAGAUUCUAGCUUACUCAGAGAGAAGAACUGUCAUCAAGAAAACAGCAAAUCGGGGCUGGGGAUUUAGCUCAGUAGUAGAGCGCUUACCUAGGAAGUGCAAGGCCCUGGGUUCGGUCCCCAGCUCCGGAAAAAAAAAAGAACCAAAAAAAAAAAAAAAGAAAAAGAAAA